AAAAAAAAAAUUUCCAAAAAGGUGACCACAGGGAGAAAAACAUGAAGAUAACCACCAGCUCAGACCCAGCCGGGGCUUGUGGCCAUGCCCACCUGCUCCUGUGUGUCCUGGGCCUCGGGCAAGCCACUCAUCCUCUCCCCACUGUUUCCAGUCUGUAAGCUGGGAUUAGUGACGCUGCCUUCUCAGUUGUGGGAACCUAGAAGGCAGCAAUGGGCCUCUCUCCCUAGGUUGCAACCCGGGGCUGGCACGUAGUAGGUCUGUUUCCAGCUGCCACACACGCUACCUUACCAGGGGUCCCCAAGAGACAGGACAGGGUGAUGGGCCCAUUUCACAGGGGGAAAAACCGAGGCAAAGAAAGGCAGUGGAGACUCGUGCUUCUGCUUCAGUAGCUCCUGCCAUGGACUUGUCAUGGGAACCCCCUCCCACAAGCUCUGUCCCCGGCACCCUCUGGCACUGUUAGCCAGCGGAAUCCAGCUGUCACCAUGGCCUGGUUCUUAGCACCCCUGGGAACUUUUAGAGCCUCUGGCCUGUGCUAACUGAGGUUGGGCAGCUGCUGGCCAGGGCCCUAGAGAGAGGGGUAUCAGGUAGCUAGUGCUGAGUAACAAAUAGCUCCAAACACAUGACUUCACAUGUCCUUAGUAUUAAAGGGCCUGGUGGUACUGCUGCUCAUUGCUAGGCCUGGCAAGUCCUAGCUGGGCUCACUCACACAUCUGUGGGCAGCUGGGAGCUAGCUAGUCCAGGAUGGCCUCAGCUAGGGUGACCCAGGCUCCAUCGCCCUCUUGCCUUCCAGCAAAGCAGCCCAGCCCGUUCUCGUGCUAUAGCAGGAGUCGGGGAGAGCAGGCAGAGGCACGCAUGUCCCUGGAGGCUUAAGCUCAGAGCUGGGAAUGUCAUUGCUGUCACCUUUUAUUGGCCACAGCAAGUCAUAAGACAGGCUCAGAUUGAAGGAUGGGGAAGUAGACGCCACCUCUAGACAGGAGUUGGGGCAAAGUCACACAGCAAAGGGCGUGGUGAUUCAGGGAGGAGUGGGGCAUCGGGGACACGUUUGUAACUGAUCUACCACAGAGGGGAGCCCCCCUUUGAGAAAGUGCUUGGUGGGCCUUGGUGCUUACGCAGCCACGGACCAACCUGCUAGAUGGGGCCUUCAGUAGGGUGGCGGGACGUCAGUUUAGCCUCAGGAUUCGACUCCGAGCCUCUUGCGAGACCACGUCUUGGGCAGCAUCGUAGACCCGGCUGUGAGCACAGAGUGGCUCUUCCAGAAAGUUUGUUGAAUGACUGACUGACCUAAGUCAGUCCCUGUGCCAGGCAGCCCAGAGGGACCAGCCCAGAGCCUCCUUCUCGGGGUGCAAGCCUGGCUUGGGAUUGGGGGGUGUCUGCACUCGUGGAGCCCCCCAUGCCUGCCGGGAGCCUGAAGACGCAGAGACCUCCUGCCUCGCCUCGCCCCCUCCGUGGGGACCCUCUUCCCCACACUCCUUGGUUCCUGUCGGAGCCAAGAUGUGUCACCAUGGAAACCGCUUGGCAAACGCUGGCAGGCAGAGGCGGCCAACAGCAGCUCUCCCGAUCGAGCUCCGGGCACCGGCUGGAGCAACGUCGCGGGACGGCGUGAGCGAGCACACCCAGCCGUGUGUGACACGCGUGGGGACAGAGGCCGGGGCGGCUGCGGGAGGGCGUGCGGGGAGGUCAGGGCGCCCCGGCGUGUAUGCGCCCACGUGCGCGCCUGUGCGUGUGCCAACAGUGCAGCCACAUCGGAGCGCGUGUGCUCCGAGUGUGAUGGCCGCGUGGGCCGGUGCAGGGUGUGUGUGGGGAUGGGGGUGUCUGAUUGGUGCUGUGACCUGCGGCAGCACAGCCGCCUGCGUUGAGUGCCCACGGUGGGCUGGACAUUGCACUAGGUGCUGACAGGACCGGCAGAGGUGGCCACUGCCCUCGUCCCCAGCCUGCACUCCUGGGCGAAGGCUGACGCUGAACAGGUACUUGUAAGAGUCGCCGAAGUGCGUGCCGGGAGGGUUCUGGGAAGAGGCAGCUGUGGGGCCUGAAGCCUAAAUGUGGGGUGGGAGGCAUCCAGGCUGCGGCUCCAGGCAGAGGGCACAGCCCGGCUGUGAGCCACCACGCCUGGCCCCAAGGGCCUUCCUGUGUGUCCAAUUCUGGGCUCAGAAGCAGGGGGUCACCCUGCAGAAUAUCUAAGAAGGCUGAGGCUGUGUGGGCACAUGGACCCAGCAGGGAACAAGACUUGCCCAUUGUUCUGACAGACUCGAAGAUGGAUCUGGCCCUGGUCCCUGCUUUCCCUCUGACCCCAGGCCCACCCGGCAAGAAUGGCUGAAGUCACAUAGCAGCCUGGCCCUGGCUGUGCUGAGACCUGGAAGGGAAGUUCCUUUCAACUGAGUGGGGAGGCGCCCCACCCUAGCAGCCCCUCCCAGACCCCAAGCAGCCUUGGGGCUCCCCAGGCACUCGCCUGGCAGAACGGAAGCAGGGGUGGCGGCUGAGGUCUGCCACCCUCGCUGAGCGCCCUGCAGCCCCUGUGGUUGCAGUUUUACUUGUUUUGAAAGCCCCAUUAAUGAUCAGAAGUUUGGGAAAGGGGGCCUGGCUGGGCUAGACUGGGGGGACAUGGAGCCCCAGGGACCAGCCAGGCCCCUUUCUGACCAGACCUCUAAUCUGAUGUGAUGGCACCACUGGUGGGUGGGACACAGCUGUCCCCAGAAUGUACCUGGGGGAGGAAUGACUUCACCUCCCCUGCCGGCUAUGUCUUUGCAAAGAGAAAAACAACAAGAAACACAGCCCACGGGACAGGU
rnacentral:lncRNA from 10 species